UGUGGCAGUGCUCAACGUGCGAGCAGGCCAUAAAUAUUGUCAAGCGAUAUGGCCAUGGAUGGAAAGGUAUAUCGAGGAUGCUAGACCAGGAUCGUGGCACAAGAGCUUGUGGGGGAAGCUUGGAUAGUAAAACCCGAAGGACUCGGAUGUGUACGAUCAUCUGUAGGUUUGAGGAGCUGCAGGGCGUGUCUGCUUCGUAUUUUAGCUAGGCGGCACUAGAGGUGGGUUUGCCCAAGCCUCAUGCACAAUAGUGGUGUUGCAUGGUCGUGCUAUAUGGAUUUUUGGAUUUGGUAUAUGUAGUACUGAAGGGCAGCUUGGUGGGUUGUGGAUCAGUGACACAGUGGUAAUGUCAUGGCAC
rnacentral:lncRNA from 1 species